GCGAGAGUGGUGAAAUUGGUAGACACGCCAGACUUAGGAUCUGGUGCCGCAAGGUAUAAGGGUUCAACUCCCUUCUCUCGCA
rnacentral:tRNA from 1 species